rnacentral:rRNA from 1 species
ACCAACAGGGAUUGCCCUAGUAACGGCGAGUGAAGCGGCAACAGCUCAAAUUUGAAAUCUGGCCCUCGGGUCCGAGUUGUAAUUUGUAGAGGAUGCUUUUGGCGCGGUGCCUUCCGAGUUCUCUGGAACGAGACGCCUUAGAGGGUGAGAGCCCCGUACGGUUGGACACCAAGCCUCUGUAAAGCUCCUUCGACGAGUCGAGUAGUUUGGGAAUGCUGCUCUAAAUGGGAGGUAAAUUUCUUCUAAAGCUAAAUAUUGGCCAGAGACCGAUAGCGCACAAGUAGAGUGAUCGAAAGAUGAAAAGCACUUUGAAAAGAGGGUUAAAUAGCACGUGAAAUUGUUGAAAGGGAAGCGUUUGCGACCAGACCUUGUCCUGGCGGAUCAUCCGGUGUUCUCACCGGUGCACUUCGCCAGGUCGAGGCCAGCAUCGGUUUCUGCGGGGGGAUAAAAGCUCUGGGAACGUAGCUCUUUCGGGAGUGUUAUAGCCCUCUGCAUAAUACCCUCGCGGGGACCGAGGACCGCGCUUUAUGCAAGGAUGCUGGCGUAAGGGUCGUCAACGACCCGUCUUGAAACACGGGCCAAGGAGUCGAACAUUUGUGCGAGUGUUUGGGUGUCAAACCCUCACGCGUAAUGAAGGUGAACGUAGGUGAGAGCCCUUACGGGUGCAUCAUCGACCGAUCCUGAUGUCUUCGGAUGGAUUUGAGUAAGAGCAUAACUGUUCGGACCCGAAAGAUGGUGAACUAUGCGUGGAUAGGGUGAAGCCAGAGGAAACUCUGGUGGAGGCUCGCAGCGGUUCUGACGUGCAAAUCGAUCGUCAAAUCUGCGCAUGGGGGCGAAAGACUUAUCGAACCAUCUAGUAG